rnacentral:rRNA from 1 species
AUUGAACGCUGGCGGAAUGCUUUACACAUGCAAGUCGAACGGCAGCACGGACUUCGGUCUGGUGGCGAGUGGCGAACGGGUGAGUAAUGUAUCGGAACGUGCCCAGUCGUGGGGGAUAACGUAGUGAAAAUUACGCUAAUACCGCAUACGAUCUAUGGAUGAAAGCGGGGGAUCGCAAGAACUCGCGCGAUUGGAGCGGCCGAUAGCAGAUUAGGUAGUUGGUGGGGUAAAGGCCCACCAAGCCAACGAUCUGUAGCUGGUCUGAGAGGACGACCAGCCACACUGGAACUGAGACACGGUCCAGACCCCUACGGGAGGCAGCAGUGGGGAAUUUUGGACAAUGGGCGAAAGCCUGAUCCAGCCAUUCCGCGUGCAGGAUGAAGGCCCUCGGGUUGUAAACUGCUUUUGUACAGAACGAAAAGGUUUCUACUAAUACUAGGAGCUCAUGACGGUACUGUAAGAAUAAGCACCGGCUAACUACGUGCCAGCAGCCGCGGUAA